GAAGAAACGAUUAAAAGGGAAUCAGGUGAAAAUCCUGAACAGUCCCGCUGCUGUAAGUUUAUAAAACUUGUAAAAGCAAAUACUCUUGCCACUGAAACAUGGUUUCGGGAAGGCGUUUUUACGAAAACAAAGUCAGAAGACCUGCCAUGCAUGAUA
rnacentral:ncRNA from 1 species